rnacentral:rRNA from 1 species
AACGAACGCUGGCGGCGUGCUUAACACAUGCAAGUCGAACGAGAAAGUGUAGCAAUACAUGAGGAAAGUGGCGCGCGGGUCAGUAACACGUGGGUAAUCUACCUGCAGGCGAGGAACAACCUGUCGAAAGACGGGCUAAUACCUCAUAAGACCACGAGAACGAAAGUUCUUGAGGUCAAAGGUGGCCUCUAUUUAUAAGCUAUCACCUGUAGAUGAGCCUGCGCACCAUCAGCUUGUUGGGGAGGUAAAAGCUCACCAAGGCCUAGACGGUUAGCUGGUCUGAGAGGACGACCAGCGACACUGGAACUGAGACACGGUCCAGACUCCUACGGGAGGCAGCAGUGGGGAAUUUUGGACAAUGGGCGAAAGCCUGAUCCAGCAACGCCGCGUGAGUGAUGAAGGCCUUCGGGUUGUAAAGCUCUGUCGGAGGGAACGAAUAAAGGCCACCUAAUACGUGGCCAUAUGACGGUACUCUCAAAGGAAGCAACGGCUAACUCUGUGCCAGCAGCCGCCGUAA